UCUGUAUUCUUACUCUUUAACUUUUAUUUACUAAUUAGUUUAAUAAUUCCAAUUUAUGCUUCUCAUAAAACAUAACACAAUUACCUAGCUAUCCAUAUCUUUCUUGGUAAUUCAAUUUUUCUCUUUACAGCACACAUUCUUGUCCGGAUAAAUUGGAGCACACCCAUAAAAAGUCCUCUAUCCUGAAAGUUAAUUUCUCAAAAAUCAGCAUUCUAAAGCUUUGUUGCUUUAAGCAAAUCAAUCAGAAGCUCCAAGGAAACUUCGUCUGUAGUCAAGCCCAUCAUGUUGAAGUUGGAAUUUCCCUUCAUGGAUAGAACUCCUACAAGUCUUCUUUCAUGGUAUGUGUAUACUAUUUACAACCAGAUUUCAUGUUAAAGAGAAUAGCAAGAGCUUAAAUUAAAUAGAAUUUAAAAAGGGAAAAGGUUCCAAAACUUAAUUUUUGGAUUGAAUAAUAUACAUAUCCUUCAACUCCACAUAUGUAUAUACCGAUAGGUGAUAUAUUAUAUGUUUUCUAAUAAUGUCUGAUUAACAAAAUCAACUGAAGUAAAAUAACAAGAAAGAGAAAAAAAAUAACGAAAACACUUUUGAUUUAAUUUAAUUUCUUCCACUCUCUGGGCUACCAAAUGAAGGGCAUAAAUAUGCAUGUGAUAAAUACAUAAACAAAGCUCUUGGAACUCUAAAACAUAUGUUUGAUUGAUGUAUGACUUUGUAUGCUUGUAGAUAUAUGCUUUAUCGUUACAAACAAUAUAUAGUGAUGAUUUAGAAAAUUUAUUUUAUUCAUUAUUUUAAAAAAUUAAAGAAGUAUUAAUUAUUUUUUUUAACUUUAUUUUUAUCUAUUAUUCUCAAUAUAUUUAUUUCUUUUUAUCACCUUUCCAUAGUCUAAGGGUAUUUUAAUUAAUUAUUAGUUUUUUUUUAUAAAAAUAUUAUUUUUUUAAUAUUUAUUUAAAAUUUUUUUUAAAAAAAUACUUAAAAUGAAACAAAGAGAGUAUUUAUUAGCAAUCUUUAUAUUUAGGUGAGAAUUUUGGACAGAAAAAAAAAUGUAAUUCCAAUGAUGUUUGAAUUUGAAACUGCAUGAACUAAUCAAAUUUGGGCUACUGAUUAUUGACUUGAAUAUGUUGUUGAAUGCAAGGCAAAUAAUUAACAACUUCUAUGUGGACAAGUUUAUUUAAUUUUAGCCAACAAAAACGGCAUGUGUGGGGCCUUGAUCAUGAUUUCUAUGCUGAAGUAGCCAAUCAAUUCAUAUAAAAGAGUAAGACUUAUCCAUUAUUGACUAUUCACUUUCCACAUUAUUGUAGCUAAAAUAGUGACAUUAUAUGGUUAUAAAUAAAAAAAAAAAAAUUAAUUGACACUAA